AAUCUUGGACAAUGGGGGCAACCCUGAUCCAGCCAUCCCGCGUGUGCGAUGAAGGCCCUCGGGUUGUACAGCCCUUUUCGCAGGGCAGAAAAGCCCCGGGCUAAUACCCCGCGCCGCAGACGGUACCUCCAGAACAAGCACCGGCUAACUACGUGCCAGCAGCCGCCGUAAUACGUAGGGUGCAAGCGUUAAUCGGAAUUACUGGGCGUAAAGCGUGCGCAGGCGGUUCGGCAAGAAGGAUGUGAAAUCCCGGGGCUUAACCUCGGAACUGCAUUCUUAACUGCCGGGCUAGAGUAUGUCAGAGGGAGGUAGAAUUCCACGUGUAGCAGUGAAAUGCGUAGAGAUGUGGAGGAAUACCGAUGGCGAAGGCAGCCCCCUGGGAUGAUACUGACGCUCAUGCACGAAAGCGUGGGGAGCAAAC
rnacentral:rRNA from 1 species